rnacentral:rRNA from 1 species
GGGACAGUAGGUUGGUCGUGCCACCGGUACGUACUGGUCUCACUGAUUCCUCCUUCCUGAAGAACCGUAAUGCCAUUAAUUUGGUGUUGCGGGGAAACAGGACUGUUACUUUGAAAAAAUUAGAGUGUUUAAAGCAAGCAAACGCUUGAAUACAGUAGCAUGGAAUAAUGAAAUAGGACGAUCGAUCCUAUUUUGUUUGUUUCUAGGAUUGACGUA